GCCAUGGAUAGGAACAUCCUCUACUAGACCAGGUUGCUCAAAGCCCCAUAGUGGGGCAAAGUUUUCAGAACAAAACAAGCAGGCCUCGUUGUCACUAACACUGUUCAUCAGUCAUCUGUGGAGUAACAUCUGGCAUCACUUUCUUCACAAGAAGAGAAGUAAAAUUUGUGCCUGUUUUUCUGGGAAGACUGGGAGUUUCUGAGUACUCACCAAGCCCACCAGCCAGGAAUCUGCUUUGUGACUGGCUGUGCACAGCUUUCUCUUCUACUUUUCAGAGUUGUGAAAUAAUCAGUGUGAGAGUUUAAUACAGUUGAAAACCUUCUCAUUGUCAUGGGCCAGUCAAAUCUAGUUUAUUUUAAUACCUUUUUAAGGACUCAGCUGCAAUUUGAAUGUUCACUGUUUUUGUGCUUGUACAAAUAAAUGAUCAUAAAACAAAAAGUUGAGAACCUUUGGUGUUGACUAGUGGACAAGUAUAGCAACGGAAGAGGCAAAGGAUGGAUAUUUAAGUUAUGCACAUCUAUUUCAGAGGCAGCCAUCCUUCCAAGACUACUUUCCACGUCACCACAAAUAACUACUUCCAAAGUACCAAACUAUUUCCACCUUAACCUAAACUGUAGGAUAGGUUACCCUCUGGAAGCUCCUGUGUCUUCUCCUUGGCUGUAAGUUACUCAGAUGUCAGGAUGUUUGGGGCAUACAAGAAUGAAGUCAUCAGCUUUGCUUGAAAUUUGGCAAUUACAGAAAGUAGACACUGUAUUUACACUUGCUGCAACUCCAAAACUCGGCUUGAUAUCUCUUGUUCUGUGGCCUUCCAAAACUGUCCUGGAAAUUGGUGCCCACUCUUCUACAAAUUAUGUGCACUCAAAAUCUUUUGUGUGGCUUUUUUUGUUAAGUCUAAUUUUAAGUCCUCUGAUCUUUGAUGGAUGUACAAAUUCAUUUAAUCAGUCAGUUAUCCUGCAAUACAGACAUCUGAGUCAUAUGCUCUCCAACAGCCUUUGCUUGGUUAAACACCAGAUGGAUGAAACAUCUGUAUAAAUCUUUAAUUUCUGUGACAGUGUUUCCUUCAUUUAUUCCUUGAUUUAUGUGGUUAGUUUCACUUGUCUGUUCUUCCAAUUAGUGAGUCAACCAAUCUCUGUCAGUCAGAUCUGUUCAAC
rnacentral:lncRNA from 1 species